rnacentral:rRNA from 1 species
UACGUAGGGUGCAAGCGUUAAUCGGAAUUACUGGGCGUAAAGGCGUGCGCAGGCGGUGAUGUAAGACAGAUGUGAAAUCCCCGGGCUCAACCUGGGAACUGCAUUUGUGACUGCAUCGCUGGAGUGCGGCAGAGGGGGAUGGAAUUCCGCGUGUAGCAGUGAAAUGCGUAGAUAUGCGGAGGAACACCGAUGGCGAAGGCAAUCCCCUGGGCCUGCACUGACGCUCAUGCACGAAAGCGUGGGGAGCAAACAGG